UUUUUUUACUUUUUUUUU
rnacentral:sRNA from 1 species